rnacentral:rRNA from 1 species
GGUUGUGGCCAUACCAUCUUGACAAUACCUGAUCUUCUGAUUUCGAAAGUUAAGCAAGAUUGAGCCUGGUUAGUGCUUGGGUGGGAGAGCACUGGGAAUACGAGGUGGCAUAGUGA